rnacentral:rRNA from 1 species
UACAGGGGGGGCAAGCGUUGUUCGGAAUUACUGGGCGUAAAGGGCGCGUAGGCGGCCUGAUAAGUCGGGGGUGAAAUCCUGUGGCUUAACCACAGGGCUGCCUCCGAGACUGUCGGGCUCGAGCACAGUAGAGGCAGGUGGAAUUCCCGGUGUAGCGGUGGAAUGCGUAGAGAUCGGGAAGAACAUCGGUGGCGAAGGCGGCCUGCUGGGCUGUUGCUGACGCUGAGGCGCGACAGCGUGGGGAGCAAACAGG